CUAAAAGUAGGUUAGAUAAGCUAUUUGUAGGGUUCAUGUUCAUAUUCAGUUCCUGAAUUCAAUCUCGUGCAAUUCUAGAGAAUACUGAAAGGACUGGGGACCCUAAGCCCCGCCCCUGAACAGCGUGAUCUUGCAUUCAAGCCCCGCCUCUUUAGCAACGUGCUUUGUGAUUGGAGCGGAUUUUGUUAUAAAAUCACGAACGUAUGUUUAUAUAUGCAUUACAACUAUUUUAUAUAUUUAAAAAAAUAUAUUAUCAUUAAAGUCUACUAUUACAAAACAUUUCGUUUCAUUCCACUGAAAAUCAGCUGCUGUAGAUGUCAAAGCUUUCUCUAGUGUUAUGUGGGGAAAAAAGAAAAUUUCCAAAGCUAUGAGAAUUUGCUGCCAUCUUCUGUUCAAACAUCCACUUUCAGACCUAGAAUGGUCACGGGAAACCCGGAGGCUAUCCCAGGGGACUUGGGGCAAAGGUGAAGGACAUCACAUCACCACAUGCUUUAUAACAAACUAACACAAGGAUCACAGGGAAACUGAAGUCUAUCCCAAGGGACUCGGGUAACAAGACAGGGGACACCCUGCAUGGGGUACUAACCCAUCACCAGGCACUCACACACUAAUUCAAGCAAAUUUACAAAUGCCAGUCCAUCUACAACAUGUCUUUGGACUGGGGGAGGAAACCGUAGUACCCAGAGGAAACCUUCAAUCACGAGGACAACAUUGAAAUUCCCUGCACACAGGACAGAGGCAGGAAUCAAACCACCAAUCCUGGAGGAUCACAGCAAACCUAGAGUCUGUCCAAAUGGACUCGGGUAACAAGGCAGGGGACACCCUGGACAGAGUAUCAACCCAAUCAUAUGGUACUCACACACCAAUUCACACACAAUACAAAAAAUUUACAAACGCCAGUCAGUCUACAACGCAUGUCUAUGGACUGGGGGAGGAAAGCAGAGUACCCAAAGGAAACCCUCAUGCAUGAGGAGAACAUGGAAACUCCCUGCACACAGCACAGAGGCAGGAAUCGAACCACCAAUCCUGGAGGUACAAGGCACCUAGUUUGUCUAUGAUUUAGCAUUAGUAGCAUUAAUAGUAUUAAUUUCCUCCAGCACUUUUCAGCUGGCAAAGAUGGUCUACAAGCUGGACCACUUAAGCCUGUGUUUUGGCAGCUGGUAGCUAAGCUGAAAUGUUCAGGUUCAUUCUUGCUUUAGGUUUCUUUCCAAAUCAAAUUCACGCAUUGUAUCCAAUCAUCAAUAAACAGUUCAGCAAGCUCAAAUCUGGUCUAUCAUUAUGUUGUUCGGUACUCACCAAUUGAAGAUGCUUAGGACCCAUUUACAUGUGGUAUUCUGUUUUUAUCCUAGUGUUGUGUAAUAGCCAAGAUGUUCUCUGAAUUGUGUAACCUUCCAGCUGCUGAUUGCUACAAUUCACUGAUUUGGUGCAGGCCUUUCCUCACUGUCUGAGACAUAUUUCCCACUCUGUCUACAUCAAAAUGCUUUGAUCUGUACUCUCAUAAUCAGAACAGUUGGCAGAGAAAAACCAGACAUGAGCCGAACACUAUGUUCUCAG